UGAGGAAUAUUGGUCAAUGGGGCGCGAGCCUGAACCAGCCAAGUCGCGUGAAGGAUGAAGGUUCUAUGGAUUGUAAACUUCUUUUAUGGGGGAAUAAAGUGCGGGAUGUAUCCUGUUUGUAUGUACCUCAUGAAUAAGCAUCGGCUAACUCCGUGCCAGCAGCCGCGGUAAUACGGAGGAUGCGAGCGUUAUCCGGAUUCAUUGGGUUUAAAGGGUGCGUAGGUGGCCUUUUAAGUCAGCGGUGAAAGUUUGUGGCUCAACCAUAAAAUUGCCGUUGAAACUGGAGGGCUUGAGUAUGUUUGGGGCAGGCGGAAUGUGUGGUGUAGCGGUGAAAUGCAUAGAUAUCACGCAGAACUCC
rnacentral:rRNA from 1 species